CUGUCUCUUGCUUCAACAGUGUUUGGAAAGAACAG
rfam:Myotis davidii contig65526, whole genome shotgun sequence.